rnacentral:lncRNA from 1 species
UUACGGGGUCCCACGGUGUCUAUGGGGUCCUGUGGGGUUUUAUGGGAUCCUAUGGGGUUGUAUGGGGUCCACUGGGGUCCUAUGGGGUCUGUGGGUUAAUAUGGGGUCUUAUGGGGCCCUGGGGUGUCCUAUGGUGUCUGUGGGGUAAUAUGGGGUCCAUUGGGGUCCUAUGCUGUCUUAUGGGAUCCUAUGGGGUUUUAUGGGAUCUUAUGGGGUCUGUGGGGUAAUAUUGUGCCCUAUGGGGUCUUAUGGGGUCGUAUGGGAUCCUAUGGGGUCGUAUGGGAUCCUAUGGGGUCGUAUGGGGUUUUAUGGUGUCUAUGGGGUCCUGUGGGGUCCCAUGGUCUCUAUGGGGUCCUAUGGGGUCCCACGGUCUCUAUGGGGUCCUAUGGGGUCCUGGGGUGUCUUACGGGAUCCUAUGGGGUCGUAUGGGGUUUUAUGGUCUCUAUGGGGUCCCAUGGGGUCCCACGGUCUCUAUGGGGUCCUAUGGGGUCUUAUGGGAUCCUAUGGGGUAAUAUGGGGUCCUAUAGGUUCCUAUGGGGUUUUAUGGGGUCUAUGGGGUCCCACGGUCUCUAUGGUGUCCUAUGGGGUCCUGUGGGGUUUUAUGGGAUCCUAUGGGGUCCUGGGGUGUCCUGUGGUGUCUUAUGGGAUCCUAUGGGGUCGUAUGGGAUCCUAUGGGGUCGUAUGGGGUUUUAUGGUGUCUAUGGGGUCUUAUGGUGUCCUGUGGUGUCUUACGGGAUCCUAUGGGUUCCUAUGGGAUGCUAUGGGGUAAUAUGGGAUCCUAUGGGGUAAUAUGGGGUUUUAUGGUGUCUAUGGGGUCUUAUGGGAUCCUAUGGGGUAAUAUGGGGUCCUAUAGGUUCCUAUGGGGUCUAUGGGGUCCCAUCCUCACCUCAGCCCACGGAGGAGGAAACGGAGCAGCAGCAGCAGGAAGGAUGGGGAGCUGCAGGGAAACGGACAAUUAGCGAGGAGAAGCCAUUAGCAGAGCCAAGGAGGGGUAAUUAAGGGCCGGGGGGGAUUAUUAGGGGGCAGGAGGAA